AGGGUGGGGUGCUAAUACAUGCAAGUCGAGCGAACAGACAAGGAGCUUGCUCCUUUGACGUUAGCGGCGGACGGGUGAGUAACACGUGGGUAACCUACCUAUAAGACUGGGAUAACUUCGGGAAACCGGAGCUAAUACCGGAUAAUAUUUCGAACCGCAUGGUUCCAUAGUGAAAGAUGGUUUUGCUAUCACUUAUAAAUGGACCCGCGCCGUAUUAGCUAUUUGGUAAGGUAACGGCUUACCAAGGCGACGAUACGUAGCCGACCUGAGAGGGUGAUCGGCCACACUGGAACUGAGACACGGUCCAGACUCCUACGGGAGGCAGCAGUAGGGAAUCUUCCGCAAUGGGCGAAAGCCUGACGGAACAACGCCGCGUGAGUGAUGAAGGGCUUCGGAUCGUAAAACUCUGUUAUUAGGGAAGAACAUACGUGUAAGUAACUAUGCACGUCUUGACGGUACCUAAUCAAAAAACCACGGCUAACUACGUGCCAGCAGCCGCGGUAAUACGUAGGGUGGCAAGCGUUAUCCGGAAUUAUUGGGCGUAAAGCGCGCGUAGGCGGUUUUUUUAAUUCUGAUGUGAAAAGCCCACCGCUCAACCGUGGAGGGUCAUUGGAAACUGGAAAACUUGAGUGCCGAAGAGGAAGUGGAAUUCUCAUGUGUAGCGGGGAAAUGCGCAAAGAUAUGGAGGAACACCAGUGGCGAAGGCGACUUUUCUGGUCUGUAACUGACGCUGAUGUGCGAAAGCGUGGGGAUC
rnacentral:rRNA from 1 species